rnacentral:rRNA from 1 species
ACGGGAGGCAGCAGUGGGGAAUAUUGGGCAAUGGGCGCAAGCCUGACCCAGCAACGCCGCGUGAAGGAUGAAGGUCUUCGGAUUGUAAACUUCUUUGAUUGGGGAAGAAUAAAUGACCUACCCAAAGAACAAGUCACGGCUAACUACGUGCCAGCAGCCGCGGUAAUACGUAGGUGACAAGCGUUAUCCGGAUUUACUGGGUGUAAAGGGCGUGUAGGCGGUUCUGUAAGUCAGAAGUGAAAUUCCCGGGCUCAACCUGGGCGCUGCUUCUGAAACUACAGAACUUGAGUACUGGAGGGGAAAGCGGAAUUCCUAGUGUAGCGGUGAAAUGCGUAGAUAUUAGGAGGAACACCAGUGGCGAAGGCGGCUUACUGGACUGUAACUGACGUUGAGGCUCGAAAGCGUGGGGAGCAAACAGGAUUAGAUACCCUGGUA